rnacentral:lncRNA from 1 species
UGAGGUGGCUUGGGAUUUGCUACCUCCACCUCCACUACCAACUUAUCAACCUCAAAUGUAGGCAUAAAACCUGGGGGAAGGGCCCAAAUGUAGGACAAGAUCACAACCUUGUGACAUAGAAUUAUCUACCUCCUGAUGGGCAAACGGGAUUCAAGCCCUAGCUACUGCUCCGGUGGUAUGGAACAAUGAGCUUUAUGCUCUAUGAUGCACGAAAACUUCAAAUUUCAAGCUGUACCUGUAUCGAAUACGUAUCGGACACCGAUACAUGCCCGAUAUAUGCCCGAUACAUAUCCGAUAUGGAAAUGAAGUAUCCGGCAUUUUAAAAAAUAAAAAAAAUAUCGAAUACGGCUUGGAUACGGGGGGAUACGGGGGGGAUACGGCCAGAUUCUUUUUUGGCCUAAAAUGAUCGAAAUUUUAAAUUUUUUUAAAAAGCCCACAUCCAAACCUACUGGAAAUAAGGACAAGAGUGAGAAAAACACCAAUCUCUAUUUAAUUUGUCAUUUAUUCUAUCUUUUUGCUCUUGAAUAGUAGAAAGCGCUCCCUCUCGUUCUAUCUCCACACAGUAUUAAGCCAUGAUUUAGUUUUUCACUGCUUCUCUUUUACUCUUUUUUAUCUAAUUUGUCAACCUCGCAUUAAGCAACAAAGGC